ACUCCGCUUGAUCCUGGCGGACCCAACUGCUAUCGGGGUGGGACUAAGCCAUGCGAGUCGGCGCUCCAAGCCAUGGUGGGGCGCGGCGCACGGCUCAGUAACACGUAGCUAACCUACCCUCCGGACGGGGACAACCCCGGGAAACUGGGGCUAAUCCCCGAUAGGUGAGGAGGCCUGGAACGGUUCUUCACCUAAAGGGAGCUGGAACCAUGCAUCCAACUCCGCCGGAGGAUGGGGCUGCGGCCGAUCAGGUUGCUGGUGGGGUAACGGCCCACCAGGCCUAUAACCGGUACGGGCCGUGAGAGCGGUAGCCCGGAGAUGGGCACUGAGAUAAGGGCCCAGGCCCUACGGGGCGCAGCAGGCGCGAAACCUCCGCAAUGCGCGUAAGCGUGACGGGGCCACCCCGAGUGCCGUCCGCUGAGGAUGGCUUUUCCUCGGUCUAACCAGCCGAGGGAAUAAGGGGAGGGCAAGCCUGGUGUCAGCCGCCGCGGUAAUACCAGCUCCCCGAGUGGUUGGGACGAUUAUUGGGUCUAAAGCGUCCGUAGCCGGCCGAGGAAGUUCCCCGUUAAAUCCGGCGAUUCAAUCGUCGGGCUGCGGAGAAUACUCCUCGGCUUGGGGGCGGGGGAGGCCGGCGGUAGUCCCGGGGUAGGGGCGAAAUCCUAUAAUCCCGGGAGGACCACCAGUGGCGAAGGCGGCCGGCCAAAACGCGCCCGACGGUGAGGGACGAAAGCUGGGGGAGCGAACGGGAUUAGAUACCCCGGUAGUCCCAGCCGUAAACGAUGCAGGCUAGGUGUUGGAACGGCUACGAGCCGUUCCAGUGCCGCAGGGAAGCCGUUAAGCCUGCCACCUGGGGAGUACGGCCGCAAGGCUGAAAUCCUAGGAGGCGGGAUGAGGCGUUAGACUAGGAAGCGAGAUGAACCCAGCUGAUCCUUAAGCCCCUAAUAUGGCCGUGCACUGUUGAAGGAGUUAGGAUAAUCAUGCGUCGAUGGGUGGCCCACCGGCCGGUGGGAUGCCUCUCCAAUCUUUGAAGGGCGGUGUACAAAGGGGCACCGCCGAUCGCCUUGUAGGAGCUUCCAGGUCCACCGUUUCCUCCAGCCUCCCAGGACAGCACACUUAAAGGAAUUGGCGGGGGAGCACCACAAGGGGUGAAGCCUGCGGUUUAAUUGGAGUCAACCCCGGGAACCUUACCAGGGGCGACAGCUGGAUGAAGGCCAGAUUAAAGGUCUUGCCGGACUAGCUGAGAGGAGGUGCAUGGCCGUCGCCAGUUCGUGCCGUGAGGUGUUCUCUUAAGUGAGACAACGAACGAGACCCGCGCCUCUAGUUGCCAGCGGAUCCCGUCAGGGAUCCGGGCACAUUAGAGGGACUGCCUCCGCUAAGGAGGAGGAAGGAGCGGGCCACGGCAGGUCAGUAUACAGCACGCUCAGCCGAGGAACCCUCCCAUGUUCCAAUGGGGGACCUAAAGGCCAGAGGUGCUGGCUGAAGCCCCGAAUCCCCUGGGCCACACGCGGGCUGCAAUGGCUGGGACAAUGGGUUCCCACCCCGAAAGGGGGAGGUAAUCCCUAAACCCAGCCUCAGUUUGGAUCGAGGGCUGCAACUCGCCCUCGUGAAAAUGGAAUCCCUAGUAACCGCGUGUCACCAUCGCGCGGUGAAUACGUCCCUGCUCCUUGCACACACCGCCCGUCGCUCCACCCGAGUUUGGUUUAGGUGAGGCGUGGUCUACCUUGGCCACGUCGAACCUGAACUAAGCGAGGGGGGAGAAGUCGUAACAAGGUGGCCGUAGGGGAACCUGCGGCCGGAUCACCUCCU
rnacentral:rRNA from 1 species